rnacentral:rRNA from 1 species
UGGGGAAUUUUGGACAAUGGGCGAAAGCCUGAUCCAGCAAUGCCGCGUGUGUGAAGAAGGCCUUCGGGUUGUAAAGCACUUUUGUCCGGAAAGAAAUCCUUGGCUCUAAUACAGUCGGGGGAUGACGGUACCGGAAGAAUAAGCACCGGCUAACUACGUGCCAGCAGCCGCGGUAAUACGUAGGGUGCAAGCGUUAAUCGGAAUUACUGGGCGUAAAGCGUGCGCAGGCGGUUUGCUAAGACCGAUGUGAAAUCCCCGGGCUCAACCUGGGAACUGCAUUGGUGACUGGCAGGCUAGAGUAUGGCAGAGGGGGGUAGAAUUCCACGUGUAGCAGUGAAAUGCGUAGAGAUGUGGAGGAAUACCGAUGGCGAAGGCAGCCCCCUGGGCCAAUACUGACGCUCAUGCACGAAAGCGUGGGGAGCAAAACAGGAUUAGAUACCCUGGUAGUCCACGCCCUAAAACGAUGUCAACUAGUUGUUGGGGGGUUCAUUUCCUUAGUAACGUAGCUAACGCGUGAAGUUGACCGCCUGGGGAGUACGGUCGCAAGAUUAAAACUCAAAUGAAUUGACGGGGUCAUAGCUGUUUCCU